AGGAGGGAGAGAUGGCAGAAUGACAGACGGAAGGUGAAGUGAUACAAACAGAAGAUGCAAGUAGGAGGAUGUAUCUAAAUGGUGAUAUUAGACACUAAACAUUUUCCUCAGCAUCUUUGCCAGUUUGUCUCUGUCUCACCUCCCUCAGCCCCCCACCCACCCCCGUCCCCCUCCUGUUGGAAGGGCCUCUCUCCAUUACACGCUGGACCUCGGACCAUCCGGUGACAAUGGCUGCCGUAAUCCGUGUUAAAACUGUCUCCCCUAACCUGGCUGGCAUCAACAGUGGGCUGAUGACCUAAAGCCUGGCGUGCUUGCAUGUGUGUGUCUGAGAGUGCAAUUGAUGUAAGCCAAGGCACUGAGAUCAAAUCAAGAGGAUGAGAGGAGUUGACGAGACCACAUUAAGAUGGCUGAGGCAUCUAACUUCAAGGGCCCAUAUGCUUUGGAUCACAGUGCAUCUUGAGCAAUACGCCAAAGGUCACCGGGUGCUCUUAAUGUUCUCUUAUGAGAAAUGAAGAGUCAGCUGGAUCAACACCAUGACUAACAUUUGCUCACGUUCACCUCAGGACCACACGGGACCGUGACAUCAGUUCAAGAAAUCCCAUUUCUGCUUCUUAUGGGAAAUCAAGAGUGAGCAAUAGG